GACGAACGCGUGGCGGCGCGCCCUAACGACACUGGCGAAGUCGAACGAGGUUGAGAGGAGCUUGCUUUCUUGGACUUAGGUGGACGGAACGGGUGAGUAACGCGUGAGGAACCUGCCUCAAAGAGGGGGACAACAGUUGGAAACGACUGCUAAUACCGCAUAAGCCCACAGCUCGGCAUCGAGCAGAGGGAAAAGGAGUGAUCCGCUUUGAGAUGGCCUCGCGUCCGAUUAGCUAGUUGGUGAGGUAACGGCCCACCAAGGCGACGAUCGGUAGCCGGACUGAGAGGUUGAACGGCCACAUUGGGACUGAGACACGGCCCAG
rnacentral:rRNA from 1 species